AAGCGGUGGAUGAUGUGGUUUAAUUCGAUGCAACGCGAAAACCUUACCCACCUUUGACAUGGCAGGAAUCCUAAAGAGAUUUUGGAGUGCUCGAAAGAGAACCUGCACACAGGUGCUGCAUGGCUGUCGUCGGCUCGUGUCGUGAGAUGUUGGGUUAAGUCCCGCAACGAGCGCAACCCUUGCCAUUAGUUGCUACGAAAGGGCACUCUAAUGGGACUGCCGGUGACAAACCGGAGGAAGGUGGGGAUGACGUCAAGUCCUCAUGGCCCUUAUAGGUGGGGCUACACACGUCAUACAAUGGCCGGUACAGAGGGUAGCCAACCCGCGAGGGGGAGCCAAUCCCACAAAGCCGGUCGUAGUCCGGAUCGCAGUCUGCAACUCGACUGCGUGAAGUCGGAAUCGCUAGUAAUCGUGGAUCAGCAUGUCACGGUGAAUACGUUCCCGGGUCUU
rnacentral:rRNA from 1 species